GAAUUAGUCAAUUAAUCAAUAUUAGUCCUGCAACGAAAUAAAUGGAUACCUUGACGACCCACAUGUUAGGUGUCUGAUAACAGCCACUCACGACCGUUGGCAAGCUAGCUAGCUGACUGUAUGCUACUUUGCUGGCACCGAGAGAGAAGACCUUUAAGGAGGUGACACUCUUAGCCUGUUUCCACUAGAUGUACUCCUCAUGUGGUGAUGGAUGUUUGCCAGGACUCGGACAGGAGAGUUCAGUGGGUUUGGAGAGUAAACUUUAUAGCGUUGUUGGCUCUGAUAAACUCGUUCAGAUGGAUGGAUCGUGAUGGAUAGUUUGUGUGCCUUACCAGGAUCAGCUUGCCAUCAUUGGUGAUCUCUCGGGUCCAGGACGUCUUUGGCCCUUCUCCUUUCUGCAGA